rnacentral:rRNA from 1 species
AGAGAGAGACAUGCGCGCAUAUCAAUAAGCGGAGGAAAAGAAACUAACAAGGAUUCCCUUAGUAACGGCGAGUGAAGCGGGAAGAGCUCAAAUUUGAAAUCUUCAAGGUUUUACCUUGACGAAUUGUAGUUUAAAGAAGUGUUUUCUGUUGAAGUUUUGGUAAAAGUUCUUUGGAAUAGGACAUCAUAGAGGGUGAGAAUCCCGUAUUUGACCAUUAUUUUCCAGCUGUGUGAUACACUUUCAAAGAGUCGGAUUGUUUGGGAAUGCAGUCCAAAAUGGGUGGUAAAUUUCAUCUAAAGCUAAAUAUUGGCGAGAGACCGAUAGCGAACAAGUACCGUGAGGGAAAGAUGAAAAGAACUUUGAAAAGAGAGUUAAACAGUACGUGAAAUUGUCAAAAGGGAAGCGUUUGACACCAGUGUUGUUUUCUCGAAAAUCAAUUAAAAAUGGCCGGAUUUUGUGUUGUAUUGACUUUAUCAGCUUUCUGCACUUUUUUCUUGUCUUUUUUAAUGCACUUUUCGUUUAACAAGUCAACAUCAAUUUCUUUUGUUGUAAAAGAGUCAUUGGAAGGUGGCUUUCACUUCGGUGAAAGUGUUUAUAGCCUUUGGACUUCUGCAAUCGGAGAGAUUGAGGUCUGCAGCGUAGAUCCUUCGGGGUUAGAUACAUUUGUGCUAAGUUAUAGCCUUUCAUAGACAACUUGUUGACUAUGAUCAGUCAUGUAGCUUACUCGCUUAUGUCAUUUUACCUACGCUUAGGAUGUUGACAGCAGUAUAGACUGU